rnacentral:rRNA from 1 species
CUCCUUUCAGCAGGAAAGAAGCGCAAGUGACGGUACCUGCAGAAGAAGCGCCGGCUAACUACGUGCCAGCAGCCGCGGUAAUACGUAGGGCGCAAGCGUUGUCCGGAAUUAUUGGGCGUAAAGAGCUCGUAGGCGGUCUGUCGCGUCUGGUGUGAAAUCCCAUGGCUCAACUAUGGGCUUGCAUCGGGUACGGGCAGACUAGAGUGCUGUAGGGGAGACUGGAAUUCCUGGUGUAGCGGUGGAAUGCGCAGAUAUCAGGAGGAACACCGAUGGCGAAGGCAGGUCUCUGGGCAGUCACUGACGCUGAGGAGCGAAAGCAUGGGGAGCGAACAGGAUUAGAUACCCUGGUAGUCCAUGCCGUAAACGUUGGGCACUAGGUGUGGGGCCAGUUCCACUGGUUCUGUGCCGUAGCUAACGCAUUAAGUGCCCCGCCUGGGGAGUACGGCCGCAAGGCUAAAACUCAAAGGAAUUGACGGGGGCCCGCACAAGCGGCGGAGCAUGCGGAUUAAUUCGAUGCAACGCGAAGAACCUUACCAAGGCUUGACAUGUACGAGAAAGCCCCAGAGAUGGGGUUCUCUUUGGACACUCGUACACAGGUGGUGCAUGGUUGUCGUCAGCUCGUGUCGUGAGAUGUUGGGUUAAGUCCCGCAACGAGCGCAACCCUUGUCCCAUGUUGCCAGCGGGUUAUGCCGGGGACUCAUGGGAGACUGCCGGGGUCAACUCGGAGGAAGGUGGGGAUGACGUCAAAUCAUCAUGCCCCUUAUGUCUUGGGCUUCACGCAUGCUACAAUGGCCGGUACAGAGGGCUGCGAUACCGUGAGGUGGAGCGAAUCCCAAAAAGCCGGUCUCAGUUCGGAUCGGGGUCUGCAACUCGACCCCGUGAAGUCGGAGUCGCUAGUAAUCGCAGAUCAGCAACGCUGCGGUGAAUACGUUCCCGGGCCUUGUACACACCGCCCGUCAAGUCACGAAAGUUGGUAACACCCGAAGCUCACGGCCCAACCCCUUGUGGGAGGGAGUGGUUCGAAAGGGUGGGCCCUAGA